CCUACGGGAGGCAGCAGUGAGGAAUAUUGGUCAAUGGACGAGAGUCUGAACCAGCCAAGUAGCGUGAAGGAUGACUGCCCUAUGGGUUGUAAACUUCUUUUAUAAGGGAAUAAAGUGAGGCACGUGUACCGUUUUGUAUGUACCUUAUGAAUAAGGAUCGGCUAACUCCGUGCCAGCAGCCGCGGUAAUACGGAGGAUCCGAGCGUUAUCCGGAUUUAUUGGGUUUAAAGGGAGCGUAGGUGGCUUGUUAAGUCAGUUGUGAAAGUUUGCGGCUCAACCGUAAAAUUGCAGUUGAAACUGGCAGUCGUGAGUACAGUUGAGGUAGGCGGAAUGCGUGGUGUAGCGGUGAAAUGCUUAGAUAUCACGAAGAACUCCGAUUGCGAAGGCAGCUUACUAAACUGCAACUGACACUGAUGCUCGAAAGUGUGGGUAUCAAACAGGAUUAGAUACCCCAGUAGUC
rnacentral:rRNA from 1 species